GCUCCGGUGGUGUAGUCUGGACAAACAUAACGGCCUUUCGAGCCGUUGAUCCCGGGUUCAAAUCCCGGCCGGAGCA
rnacentral:tRNA from 1 species